GAUGAAGAACGUAGCGAAAUGCGAUAAGUAAUGUGAAUUGCAGAAUUCAGUGAAUCAUCGAAUCUUUGAACGCAUCUUGCGCUCCUUGGUAUUCUGAGGAGCAUGCCUGUUUGAGUGUCAUUAAAUUCUCAACUACACUGACUUUGAAUUGGUGUGGCUUGGAUUUGGGGGGAAAAUUGUUGUGGGCUUUUUGUAUAGUCUGCUCCCCUGAAAUUGAUUAGCGGUACCUUUGUGGAACUGUCUACAGGUGUGAUAAUUAUCUACAUCUUAGACAUCUGCUGGAAUGCUGCUUUCUAAACCUUACUUGUAUUGACAAUCUUGACCUCAAAUCAGGUAGGACUACCCGCUGAACUUAAGCAUAUCAAUAAGCGGAGGA
rnacentral:misc_RNA from 1 species